rnacentral:lncRNA from 1 species
CUUGGCAAGAAGCAAUCCUACUAAAAACUGAGGAAGAUCAUCAAGUACCAUCCAUGGAAAAGAAUAUAAAAAAGAGAAAGAUGAGAAGAUAUUCAGUAUCAUCACCUAUUAGAGUUCUUCACCGUGACUCCUGAAGAAAUGAAAGUCUGUGUUGACCUUCUAGGAACACGUUUUGGUGAUCUACCGCAGCCUACUCAUUGGGGUAGCCGUCCAGAUGAGGCACCGCGGAGAGCAGAAUCAGAGGGAAGGUAACACUAGACGCCGAACAGGAAGCCGGCACUACACACUCCUGCCUUCCCUGUUCGGCACCGCCACCUCACAGAGAGCGCUGUGCCACGCCCGAGGUCUCCGGGAGCCAGAGAAUCAAGGAUGAGAUCGGCCAUGCAUCCUGCAAACCUCAGCACAGCGGUCCGGACUGGGAAGACACAGAGCGGGGCUUCAGACCAGGCCCCGCCCAGAGCCCUAUCAGUGGCGCUCGCGUGACUUCCCCUGUGGCACUGCCAACACCCGGAGAAGCACCACACGGACAGCCGAGGCCAGCUGUGCAGUGGGUGCUGUUCAAGAGAAAGGACAACACGGAGGCCUGACAAUGAUAAAGAUGAGACAACCUCUUCUCUCGCUUCUUCAUCCAAGCCGUCUCCAAAGUGCUUGCUAUAGUUCAACCAGAGAAGAGGCUUCCAAAGCC